ensembl:lncRNA
GGCAGUUAUGGGGUGGGGGGGGUUGAGGGUGGGGUAUGGGGGGUCUAUAGGGUCAGUUAUGGGGUGAUGGGUAUUUUGGGGGCACUUAUGGGGUGAUGUAGCGUGGGGUUGUGGGGUAUAGGGGCAGUUAUGGGGUGAUGUGGGGUGGGGCAGGGUUAUGGGGUGGGGACGUAUGGGGGUGUAUGGGGUCAUGUGGGGACAUAUGGGGUCACAUACCGGCCUAUGAGGAUAUAUGGGAUCAUAUGGGGUCAUAUGGGGGUUUAUAGGGUCAUAUGGGGACGUAUAGGGAUAUAUGGGGAUGUAUGGGGUCAUAUAGGGAUAUAUGGGGUCAUAUAGGGACGUAUGGGGACAUACUGGGAUAUAUGGGGUCAUAUAGGAACAUAUGGGGACAUACAGGGAUAUAUGGGGCCACAUACCGGCAUAUGAGGAUAUAUGGGAUCAUAUGGGGUCAUAUGGGGGUUUAUAGGGUCAUAUAGGGACAUAUAGGGAUAUAUGGGGAUAUAUGAAGUCAUAUAGGGAUAUAUGGGGUCAUAUAGGGACAUAUGGGGACAUACAGGGAUAUAUGGGGCCACAUACCGGCGUAUGAGGAUAUAUGGGAUCAUAUGGGGUCAUAUGGGGGUUUAUAGGGUCAUAUGGGGACGUAUAGGGAUAUAUGGGGAUAUAUGGGGUCAUAUAGGGACAUAUGGGGACAUACAGGGAUAUAUGGGGCCACAUACCGGCGUAUGAGGAUAUAUGGGAUCAUAUGGGGUCAUACGGGGGUUUAUAGGGUCAUAUGGGGACGUAUAGGGAUAUAUGGAGAUGUAUGGGGUCAUAUAGGGACAUAUGGGGACAUACUGGGAUAUAUGGGGUCAUAUAGGAACAUAUGGGGACAUACAGGGAUAUAUGGGAUCAUAUAAGGAUGUAUCGGCACGUAUGGGGAUAUAUGGGGUCGUAUAGGGACGCAUGGGGACGUAUGGGGAUAUAUAGGGCCAUACAGGGACGUAUGGGAACAUAUGGGGCCAUAUACGGACGUAUGCAGAUAUAUGGGGUCAUAUAGGGACGUAUGGGGACAUAUGGGGUCAUAUAGAGUUGUAUGGGGACAUAUGGGGAUAUGUGGGGUCAUAUAAGCACAUAUAGGGAUAUAUGGGGUUAUAUAAGAACGUAUGGGGCCAUAUGGGGCUGUAUGAGACCAUAUGAGGCCAUAUGAGGCUGUAUGGGGCUACAUGGGGCUUUAUGGGGUCUUAUGAGGUCUUAUGGGGCUAUAUGGGGCCUUACGAGGUUUUAUGGGGCCGUAUGGGGCCAUAUGGGACCCUAUGGGGCCUUACGUGACUAUAUGGGGCCUUAUAGGGCCAACUGGGGCUGUAUGGAGCCGUUUGAGGCCUUACGUGGCUGUAUGGGGACGUAUGGGGCUAUAUGGGGCCAUAUGGGGCUGUAUGGGUUUGUAUGGGGCCUUAUGGGGCCGUAUGGGACUGCAUGGGGCCUUAUGGGGCUGUAUGGGGCCGUAUUGGCCAUAUGAGACCAAAUGGGGUCGUAUGGGGCUGUAUGGGACCAUGUGGGGCCAUAUGGGUUCGUAUGGGGCCAAAUGGGGCCAUAUGAGGCUAUAUGGGGCCAUAUGGGGCCGUAUGGGGCCAUAUGGGGCCGCAUGGGGCCGUAUGGGACUGUAUGGUGCUAUAUGGGGCCAUAUAGGACUAUAUGGUGCUAUAUAAGGCCAUAUGGGGCCAUAUGAGGCUAUAUGGGGCCAUAUGGGGACAAAUAGGGCCAUAUGAGGCCAUAUGGGGCCAUACAGGGCUGUAUGGGGCUCUAUGGGGCCAUAUAGGGCUGUACGGAGCCAUAUGGGGCCAUAUUGGGCUGUACGGAGCCAUAUGGGACUGUAUGGGGCUAUAUGGGGCCAUAUGGGGCUAUACAGGUUCGUAUAGGGCCUUAUGGGGCUUUAUUGGGGCUACAUUGGUUCAUAUGGGGCUGUAUGGGGCUAUAUGGGGCCAAAUGGGGCCAUAUGAGGCCGCAUGGGACUGUAUGGGGCUAUAUGGGGCUGUAUGGGGCCAUAUGGGGCCAUACGGAGCCAUAUGGGACUGUAUGGGGCUAUAUGCGGCCAUAUAGGACUAUAUGGGCCCAAAUGGGGCCGUAUGAGGCCAUAUGGGGCCAAAUGGGGCCGUAUGGGGCCAGAUGGGACUAUAUGGGGCUAUAUGGGAUUGUAUGGGGCUAUAUGCGGCCAUAUAGGACUAUAUGGGGCUAAAUCGGGCCGUAUGAGGCUGUAUGGGGCUAUAUGGGGCCAUGUAGGACUAUAUGGGGACAAAAGGGGCCAUAUGAGGCCAUAUGGGGCCAUACGGAGCCAUAUGGGACUGUAUGGGACUGUAUGGUGCUAUAUGGGGCCAUAUAGGACUAUAUGGGGCUAUAUAAGGCCAAAUGGGGCCAUAUGAGGCUAUAUGGGGCCGUAUGGGGCUCUAUGGGGCCACAUGAGGCCAUAUGGGGCCAUACAGGGCCUUAUGGGGCUCUAUGUGGCCAUAUAGGGCUGUACGGAGCCAUAUGGGGCCAUAUUGGGCUGUACGGAGCCAUAUGGGACUGUAUGGGGCUAUAUGGGGCCAUAUGGGGCUAUACAGGUUCGUAUAGGGCCUUAUGGGGCUUUAUUGGGGCUACAUUGGUUCAUAUGGGGCUGUAUGGGGCUAUAUGGGGCCAAAUGGGGCCAAAUGGGGCCAUAUGAGGCUAUAUGGGGCCAUAUGAGGCCGUAUGGAGCCAUAUGGGGCCGCAUGGAGCCAUAUGGGGCCGCAUGGGACUGUAUGGGGCUAUAUGGGGCUGUAUGGGGCCAAAUGGGGCCAUAUGGGGCCAUACGGAGCCAUAUGGGACUGUAUGGGGCUAUAUGCGGCCAUAUAGGACUAUAUGGGCCCAAAUGGGGCCGUAUGAGGCCAUAUGGGGCCAAAUGGGGCCGUAUGGGGCCAAAUGGGGCCAUAUGAGGCUAUAUGGGGCCGUAUGGGCUAUAUGGGGCCAUAUAGGACUAUAUAGGGCCAAAUGGGGCCAUAUGAGGCCAUAUGGGACUGUAUGGUGCUAUAUGGGGCCAUAUAGGACUAUAUGGGGCCAAAUGGGGCCAUAUGACGCUAUAUGGGGCCGUAUGAGGCCAAAUGGGGCCAUAUGGGGCCAAAUAGGACUAUAUGGGGCUAUAUAAGGCCAUAUGAGGCUAUAUGGGGCCGUAUGGGGCUCUAUGGGGCCAUAUAGGACUAUAUGGGCCCAAAUGGGGCCGUAUGGGGCCAGAUGGGACUAUAUGGGGCCAAAUGGGGCCAUAUGAGGCUAUAUGGGGCCGUAUGGGGCUAUAUGGGGCCAUAUGGGCUAUAUGGGGCCAUAUAGGACUAUAUAGGGCCAAAUGGGGCCAUAUGAGGCCAUAUGGGACUGUAUGGUGCUAUAUGGGGCCAUAUAGGACUAUAUGGGGCCAAAUGGGGCCAUAUGAGGCUAUAUGGGGCCGUAUGGGGCUCUAUGGGGCCAUAUGAGGCCAUAUGGGGCCACACAGGGCCUUAUGGGGCUCUAUGGGGCCAUAUAGGGCCGUAUGGGGCCGUGACGCACCAUAGGGGCACAUUGAAGCGCUGCAGGAGGCGGCUGAGCAGACGGCGGCACUGUGGGUCGGACAGCAGCCCCAUAGCGGCACCUCCGGGAGGGCCUCAGCCCCACAACUGCGGGGCGCACAGUUCAGGACCCCAUAAGGGAGACCCACAGAAACCCCACAGACCCCCAACCGCCCCGCAUCACCCCACAGACCACAGAACCACCCCAUAACCCCGUAUCUGCCCCAUAACCACCCCAUAGACCCCAUAUCUACCCCAUAUCAUCCCCACAACCACCCCACAGACCCCAUAAUCACCCCAUAUCUGCCCCAUAACCACCCCAUAGACCCUAUAUCUGCCCCAUAACCCCAUACCUGCCCCAUAACCACCCCACAGCCCCAUAUCAGCCCCCCAACUGCCCCACAUCGCCCCACAGACCGCAGAACCGCCCCAUAACCCCGUAUCUGCCCCCAAACCAUCCCAUAGACCCCAUAUUUACCCCAUAACCCCAUAUCUGCCCCAUAACCCCGUACCUGCCCCAUAACCACCCCACAGCCCCAUAUCAGCCCCUCCAACCGCCCCAUAUCACCCCACAGACCGCAGAACCGCCCCAUAACCCCGUAUCUGCCCCAGAACCACCCCAUAGACCCCAUAUCUACCCCAUAUCUUCCCCACAACCACCCCACAGACCCCAUAAUCACCCCACAGCCCCAUAACAACCCCAUAGACCCCAUAUCUACCCCAUAACCCCAUACCUGCCCCAUAACCACCCCACAGCCCCAUAUCAGCCCCCCAACUGCCCCACAUCGCCCCACAGACCGCAGAACCGCCCCAUAACCCCGUAUCUGCCCCCAAACCAUCCCAUAGACCCCAUAUUUAUCCCAUAACCCCAUAUCUGCCCCAUAACCCCAUACCUGCCCCAUAACCACCCCACAGCCCCAUAUCAGCCGCCCCAAUUGCCCCACAUCACCCCACAGACCGCAGAACCACCCCAUAACCCUGUAUCUGCCCCAAAACCAUCCCAUAGACCCUAUAUCCGCCCCAUAACCCCAUAUCUGCCCCAAAACCACCCCAUAGACACCAUAUCUACU